CCUCCCUCUUUCUUCCCCGUCGCCCCCUUCCUUCCCCUCUCUUCUUGCUCGACGGAACCGAGCAAACCAGCGAAGCUGGAGGAGUCGCCGCCCCUCGCCGCCGUUCGCCGCUGCGUGCCGUCGGAGCAGCCGCGCCCUGGCCGCUCGCCCUCCGUCUCCCCCUUUCCUCUCCCAUCGCGGUCUCUCUCCUCCACCUCUGGUUCUUGCUCGAAGACCCAGCGGAUCUGAGGACGCCGGAGCAGCCAGCUAGCUGCUGGACCGCCGCCUCACGCCUCCGCCCUCCACCGUUCGCUGCCGAGCUGCACGCCGUUGCCUCGGCGCUGCCCCGCUCGUCUCGGCCUCCCUCUCGCCCAGCUCUCAGUUUCAGCGAGCUGUCCAGCUCGUCCCAGCUGCUGUGGACCACCGCCGGAGCUCCUACCGCCACCGCCUAGGUCUGGUUCGGCCUCCUCCGUCCAUCUAAGCCCUUGCAUGUCUCAACCGAGCUUGGAUCAGCCUCUUUCUCGGCCUCAACCAGCAGCGAACGGGGAGGAGAAAAAUGGGUAUGGCAGCGGCUUCGUGGCCCGUUUUGGCCGGCUUCCCGACCCCGGAAGCUAGGCCCGCUUUGGAGUGAAUCGAUCCCCUCGGCGUCCCCGUCGAUUUGAGCUGCUCGGAUCGCUAAUCGGGUUCCUAGAUGACGAUCGUGGAGGACCGGAAGUCCUGAAGUUCGGAAGGUGGAGGCUGAAGAAUCGGCAAAUGGGUCUGACUAGUGGAUGUUAAGACAGUCCCCUUUUUGAUAAGCCGUUAAUUUUGUAAACAGCCUAAGUUUGUAAUUAACCAGUUUGCUUAUAAAGACUCGUCUUGGGUUGAAAAAUAUGAUCCUACUCUUCUAUCCCA